rnacentral:rRNA from 1 species
GAUGAACGCUGGCGGCGUGCUUAACACAUGCAAGUCGAACGAUGAAGCCCAGCUUGCUGGGUGGAUUAGUGGCGAACGGGUGAGUAACACGUGAGUAACCUGCCCUUAACUCUGGGAUAAGCCUGGGAAACUGGGUCUAAUACCGGAUAGGAGCGUCCACCGCAUGGUGGGUGUUGGAAAGAUUUAUCGGUUUUGGAUGGACUCGCGGCCUAUCAGCUUGUUGGUGAGGUAAUGGCUCACCAAGGCAACGACGGGUAGCCGGCCUGAGAGGGUGACCGGCCACACUGGGACUGAGACACGGCCCAGACUCCUACGGGAGGCAGCAGUGGGGAAUAUUGCACAAUGGGCGAAAGCCUGAUGCAGCGACGCCGCGUGAGGGAUGACGGCCUUCGGGUUGUAAACCUCUUUCAGUAGGGAAGAAGCGAAAGUGACGGUACCUGCAGAAGAAGCACCGGCUAACUACGUG